rnacentral:rRNA from 1 species
GGGGGAUAUUGCACAAUGGGGGAGACCCUGAUGCAGCGACGCCGCGUGAGGGAAGACGGUCCUCUGGAUUGUAAACCUCUGUCUUCGGGGACGAAACGAGACGGUACCCGAGGAGGAAGCCACGGCUAACUACGUGCCAGCAGCCGCGGUAAUACGUAGGUGGCAAGCGUUGUCCGGAAUUACUGGGUGUAAAGGGAGCGUAGGCGGGCAGGCAAGUCAGGCGUGAAAUAUAUCGGCUCAACCGGUAACGGCGCUUGAAACUGCAGGUCUUGAGUGAAGUAGAGGUUGGCGGAAUUCCUAGUGUAGCGGUGAAAUGCGUAGAUAUUAGGAGGAACACCAGUGGCGAAGGCGGCCAACUGGGCUUUUACUGACGCUGAGGCUCGAAAGUGUGGGGAGCAAAC